rnacentral:rRNA from 1 species
UACGGGAGGCAGCAGUGGGGAAUAUUGCACAAUGGGCGCAAGCCUGAUGCAGCCAUGCCGCGUGUAUGAAGAAGGCCUUCGGGUUGUAAAGUACUUUCAGUCGUGAGGAAGGUGUUAAGGUUAAUAACCUUAGCAAUUGACGUUAGCGACAGAAGAAGCACCGGCUAACUCCGUGCCAGCAGCCGCGGUAAUACGGAGGGUGCGAGCGUUAAUCGGAAUUACUGGGCGUAAAGGGCACGCAGGCGGUUAAUUAAGUUGGAUGUGAAAUCCCCGGGCUUAACCUGGGAAUGGCAUUCAAGACUGGUUAGCUAGAGUCUUGUAGAGGGGGUAGAAUUCCAUGUGUAGCGGUGAAAUGCGUAGAGAUGUGGAGGAAUACCGGUGGCGAAGGCGGCCCCUUGGACAAAGACUGACGCUCAUGUGCGAAAGCGUGGGGAGCGAAAACAGGGAUUAGAUACC